GGGGUAAACCUGCGAAACUCGAAUGAACGAACGGAGAGAUUCAUCGUCAUUCCGCGGCGUACGGAUGCGUUUCGAGAUGCCAGAGGCUUCGGUCGGCGGGCACCGAGCGUAUACGUCGACGUCCGCGGACGGCGUGCACUUCUCUCUCAGUAACAUGCAUCGCGACCCGUUCGCGGUCGGUCUAAGCGCCGUUCGGGAGCCCCGUUGUACCCUUCGCGGGGUGCGACGGGACCGUGACGGCGGCCGACCGGCCCGCGGACGGUAUAAUAUAUGAAACGCGCACGCGUUUAACGCGUCCGGCCCGACGCAAGUCAACGUCGUAUCCGACGUUCCGCCCGAGCGCGGACGUUGGUGCGGCGCGUCUGUUGUCGCCGCCGUGCAGUCUCGGACCGUGCGCGUCUCCGUCUGCGAUGAUUCAGUUUCGGGCACUCGCAGGACCCGUCUUGAAACACGGACCAAGGAGUCUAGCAUGUAUGCGAGUCAUUGAGAUUACUUUAAACUGAAAGGCGUAACGAAAGUGAAGGCGCGCGCUCGUCGCGUGCUCAGGGAGGAUGGAGCGUCGAUCUAGGUCGAUCUCUCGCACUCCCGAGGCGUCUCGUUUCCAAUCCGUGAAUGCAGGCGCGCUC
rnacentral:rRNA from 2 species